AUUGAACGCUGGCGGCAUGCUUUACACAUGCAAGUCGAACGGUAACAGGCCGCAAGGUGCUGACGAGUGGCGAACGGGUGAGUAAUGCAUCGGAACGUGCCCAGUCGUGGGGGAUAACGCAGCGAAAGCUGCGCUAAUACCGCAUACGAUCUAUGGAUGAAAGCGGGGGACCGUAAGGCCUCGCGCGAUUGGAGCGGCCGAUGUCAGAUUAGGUAGUUGGUGGGGUAAAGGCUCACCAAGCCAACGAUCUGUAGCUGGUCUGAGAGGACGACCAGCCACACUGGGACUGAGACACGGCCCAGAUUCCUACGGGAGGCAGCAGUGGGGAAUUUUGGACAAUGGGCGCAAGCCUGAUCCAGCAGUGCCGCGUGCAGGAAGAAGGCCUUCGGGUUGUAAACUGCUUUUGUAGGGAACGAAACGGUCCCGGUUAAUACCUAGGGCUAAUGACGGUACCGUAAGAAUAAGCACCGGCUAACUACGUGCCAGCCGCCGCAGUAACAC
rnacentral:rRNA from 1 species